GAUGAACGCUAGCGACAGGCCUAACACAUGCAAGUCGAGGGGCAGCACAUGAGUAGCAAUACGAUGGUGGCGACCGGCGCACGGGUGAGUAACACGUAUGCAACCUACCUGUAAGAGGGGAAUAACCCGGAGAAAUUCGGACUAACACCGCAUAAUACCUCGAAGCUGCAUGGCUUUGAGGUUAAAUAUUUAUAGCUUACAGAUGGGCAUGCGUAACAUUAGAUAGUUGGUGAGGUAACGGCUCACCAAGUCAACGAUGUUUAGGGGUUCUGAGAGGAAGGUCCCCCACACUGGUACUGAGACACGGACCAGACUCCUACGGGAGGCAGCAGUGAGGAAUAUUGGUCAAUGGGCGAGAGCCUGAACCAGCCAAGUCGCGUGAAGGAAGAAGGUUCUAUGGAUUGUAAACUUCUUUUGUAAGGGAAUAAAAGGUUACGUGUAACUUAUUGUAUGUACUUUACGAAUAAGGAUCGGCUAACUCCGUGCCAGCAGCCGCGGUAAA
rnacentral:rRNA from 1 species